rnacentral:rRNA from 1 species
CGACCUUGCCUCGUGGUGGGGGAUAGCCGGGCCCAACGGCCGGGUAAUACCGCAUAGGGUGGUUUCUUCGCAUGGAGAGACUAGCAAAGCUGAGUAGCAAUACUUGGCGCCACAGGGGGGGCUCGCGGCCUAUCAGCUAGUUGGGGGGGUAAUGGCCCACCAAGGCGACGACGGGUAGCUGGUCUGAGAGGAUGGCCAGCCACAUUGGGACUGAGAGACGGCCCAG